rnacentral:misc_RNA from 1 species
GAAAUGCGAUACGUAGUGUGAAUUGCAGAAAACCGUGAACCAUCGAAUCUUUGAACGCAUAUUGCGCCCGCGGCUUCGGCCAAGGGCAUGUCUGCCUCAGCGUCGGGUUAAUACUCGUCCCACACACUCCCUUGUGGAGCAAAAUGUGUUUGGGACGGAUCUGGCCGUCCCAGGUCUCUUUCAUUAGCAGAGCUGGGUUGGCUGAAGUGCAGAGGUUUAUUCAAGGACCCGUCAAGGGCCGCAGCUGGUUAGGCAGUGAUGCUAUCGAUUAGCUGUUGGCCUGGGUCCUGGGUGAACCCUCAACCAGGAAAACUUAUUACUUACUUCCUCGACCUGAGCUCAGGCAAGAUUACCCGCUGAACUUAA